UUCAACGGCCGCGGUACCCUAACCGUGCGAAGGUAGCAUAAUCACUUGUUCCUUAAAUAGGGACUCGUAUCAACGGCAUCACGAGGGUUGCACUGUCUCCCCCCUCCAAUCAGUGAAACUGAUCUCCCCAUGAAAAAGUGGGGAUACCAUUAUAAGACGAGAAGACCCCAUGGAGCUUUAAAACCCAAUAGCAACUUAGUAAAAACCUCCUUCCAGCUACAAAACUAUGCUAACGGCUUUAGGUUGGGGCGACCGCGGAGUAAAAACUAACCUCCACAACGAAAAGAUUUAAAUGUUUACCCAAGAGCUACCACUCUAAGAAUUAGAAAACAAACGGACUGACCCGAUAUCGAUCAAUGAACCAAGUUACCCUGGGGAUAACAGCGCAAUCUACUUCAAGAGUCCAUAUCGACAAGAAGGCUUACGACCUCGAUGUUGGAUCAGGGUAUCCCAGUGGUGCAGCCGCUACUGAAGGUUCGUUUGUUCAACGAUUAAAACCCU
rnacentral:rRNA from 1 species